rnacentral:rRNA from 1 species
UACGUAGGGAGCAAGCGUUGUCCGGAAUCAUUGGGCGUAAAGCGCGCGUAGGUGGCUUCGUAAGUCCGUUGUGAAAGUCAAAGGCUCAACCUUUGAAAGCCGAUGGAUACUGCGGAGCUAGAGUACGGAAGAGGCGAGUGGAAUUCCUGGUGUAGCGGUGAAAUGCGCAGAUAUCAGGAAGAACACCCGUGGCGAAGGCGGUUCUCUGGGACGGUACUGACGCUGAGACGCGAAAGCGUGGGGAGCGAACAGG